GAUGAACGCUAGCGGCAGGCUUAAUACAUGCAAGUCGAGGGGCAGCAUGAAUGUAGCAAUAUAUUUGAUGGCGACCGGCAAACGGGUGCGGAACACGUACACAACCUUCCUAUAAGUGGGGAAUAGCCCAGAGAAAUUUGGAUUAAUACCCCGUAACAUAAUGAUGUGGCAUCACAUUAUUAUUAUAGCUUCGGCGCUUAUUGAUGGGUGUGCGGCUGAUUAGUUAGUUGGCGGGGUAACGGCCCACCAAGUCUACGAUCAGUAGCUGAUGUGAGAGCAUGAUCAGCCACGCGGGCACUGAGACACGGGCCCGACUCCUACGGGAGGCAGCAGUAAGGAAUAUUGGUCAAUGGAGGCAACUCUGAACCAGCCAUGCCGCGUGCAGGAAGACGGCCCUACGGGUUGUAAACUGCUUUUAUACGGGAAUAAACCUCAUUACGUGUAAUGAGCUGAAUGUACUGUAAGAAUAAGGAUCGGCUAACUCCGUGCCAGCAGCCGCCGUAACAC
rnacentral:rRNA from 1 species